GGGCCGCGCCUGCGCGCUGCUCCCGCCGCUGAGCCCCCGGCUGCUGCUCGGUGUUCAACGGCGCCUCAGCAUUCCUGAAAUCCAGCCCCGUCGGGAAAGUGAUAUGUGCAAAUGAUUGCCAUGAACACUGCACUGAAGUAGAGCAGUGAAGUGUCUCUCUUGUUCACACCUGGCCAAGCAAUGGGAACUGCAGCCACACUUUCAUUCACAAGGUUAGAAGAAUAUGAUGAUGACAUGGUGAUGAAGCCUGUUUCUCCUAAGCAGCCUAUCCACGCUAUUUGUUUGCUGUCUUUACUAUCUGCUAAUAACAUAUGAGCCCAAAGAGACAUGGAAGAAUUUAUCCACACAUUUCCAUACACAGGAUAGAAAUCUAUACAAUACCCAUCAGAGAUGCAUUACUAUGCACACUCAUAACUCAAGCUUUGCAAGAGCUUGGGAAAACAACAUGCCUGCUACUAACUCAAAGUCAAGGUCUCUAAAAGUCUGGAAAAGGGCAGAAGAGGGACUCCUGAAGCCACUGAAGGAAGGAAAUCAUUACAGGGUUCUACAGAAGUAGGUCAUGUGCUACAGCUGCUCAUAGUUUAAGAGGAAGAAACAUGGGACCUCAAACAUGGAACACGACUCCUUCAAAAUGCUUGAGAGCAACCCAAGAAAAACAUCCUCAGAGGCUUAUUUAAUAAACAUUAUCUAUAAUAGUCUCAAUGUGUGCUCAUGUUUCCUUAGGAGUUUGCACCUACUUCCCAGAGCUAACAAGAUUCCAAAAUAGAGUGCAGAAUAAUUUAAUGAAAAGGAUUUAAUAGUUUGUGUUAAAGCUAAUAUGGUCCAUUAGGAGCUGUCAUUUUAUAAACAAUGAAGGUAUGUUACCCCCUCUAUUGCCAUAAUGUCAUUCCACACAAGGUUUGUA